AUGAGGGUGGGUGGAGUUCACACGCCCAUAAAUAAGGACGAAAGCGGUUUUAAAGAAACAAAUCCUCUUAUUUAUGAAGAAGUGCAACAGUGAACGACAUUUCGGAUGCAAUGAGGGUGGGUGGAGUUCACACGCCCAUAAAUAAGGACGAAAGCGGUUUUAAAGAAACAAAUCCUCUUAUUUAUGGAGAAGUGCAACAGUGAAUGACAUUUCGGAUACGAUGAGGGUGGGUGGAGUUCACAUGCCCAUAAAUAAGGACGAAAGCGGUUUUAAAGAAACAAAUCCUCUUAUUUAUGAAGAAGUGCAACAGUGAACGACAUUUCGGA